UGAUGCUUAUUGCUGAAGAGGGUUUUGCUUU
rnacentral:piRNA from 1 species